GACACGGUGGUCGAGUGGUCUAAGACGCCAGAUUUAAGUUUGAUUUGCUGGUUUUGGUACUGGCAGAAUUCUUAAGGUUCCUGGUCUCGCAAGAGGCGUGGGUUCGAACCCCACCCGUGUCA